AGGGGGAAGGUGAGAGGGGGGGGGGGUACUGAGCAUGUGCUAAUGUACGUCAACUGUAUCUUAUGGAUAAAAAAUGCAUGAUGUCUCUUAAUGCGUGGGCACCAGAUGUGGAGGCGCUGGGUGGCCGUCGUCUACAGGGGCCAGCCUGUCUGCGUGGGAGUAGGCAGGGACCAGAAUAGCCGCGUAGCACCCCAGCAGCAGCGCCAGACUCAGGCCGAGGUUAUUCCUCCUGCAAGAGGAGAAGAUGAAGUCGCCUUCCGAUGAAUGGUCCCUGAUUAUAAAAGCGACGGGCUAGAUGCACACACUCGCUAACCGCCUGAACCACCGCAUGUUCCCAGGGUCACCUGCUGAGGAGGAACGUGUCCAGGUGUGACCCCCCCGGGCAUCUCUGGGGGACAGCAGCCAGCGCUGUGCUGGCUGGGGCCUCGAGCAGCAGAGGUGACCUGUCGUCUCGGCUCUCGUCUUCCAUCAGGAAACUCAGCGUCACCAUGGCUACAGCAGCAUCUGCACCUCCCCCUCCUCCCCCGCCCGCGCAGAGGGAAGGGAGAACAUGGAUUACCGUUUCACAGCGUGACAUCUCCUGAUUCUUGUCAGUAGCAUGAGAAAAAUGAAAAAAAAGAACUAGACAAGGAAAAUGAACACGAAACAAAAAACAAUACUUCAAGAUAUCAGGAGACCAAGUAACCCUGGAUUUGAUUUGAUUCCAUUUGAUUUGAUUUGAUUUGUUUUGACGUGAUUUGAUUUGAUUUUGGGUUACAUUAAACAUGAAAUACCCGGAGGUUAGCUUUUGAAAGAGCUUAUAUGUUACUAAUACUAACAUCUAUCAUGUUGCUAACAUCAUACUAAUAUCCAAUCUGUGUAUCCAAAACAUUAUCAACAAUACCAACCCACUAUCUUGAGUGCAGCUGUGUGUAGUUGUUCUCAAUGACAGGCAUACAGGCAUACAAUCAAAUAAGAAAGACAAGACAUCAAUUGUAAGAUAGUACCUUAAAGCAAAGCUGAGCUUGAACGGUCUUUCUGUUAUGUCAAUGCUCCAUGGUUGACAUGAGCAGAGAGCUGCAGAAAGCAUGCAGCAACUAAAAUGGCUGUUGCCACUUCCUCUACUGCUGAGCUCUGCCUCUUCCUACUACAGCAUGGUUAACCAUUAACAUGACACUGGUGAGUGUGUGUGUGUGUGUGUGUGUGUGUGUGUGUGUGUGUGUGUGUGUGUGUGUGUGUGUGUGUGUGUGUGUGUGUGUGUGUGUGUGUGUGUGUGUGUGUGUGGGAACAACAGUGAAUGAGAAAAUGUGUUUAGUAUUAUGAUGUGGUUAGUCUGAAGGAUCUAUUAUUGUUUCAACAAAGAGAGUGAAUGUCCUAUUGUCCAUGGAAAAGCAUGUUAUUCUAAACAAUGUAGUAAUACACAUAUUCCAAUUAGAAAACCUAUUCAUAAUUCCUAUUUUUGUGUGGCUUAAUAUCAGUAAGUAUACUGGAUGUUACAUGUAAAUCAUUUCCAAGGAAUCAAUAAACAGUAAUGUUACAUGCA